rnacentral:rRNA from 1 species
CCUACGGGAGGCAGCAGUAGGGAAUAUUGCUCAAUGGGGGAAACCCUGAAGCAGCAACGCCGCGUGGAGGAUGAAGGUUUUCGGAUUUUAAACUCCUUUUUUUAGAGAAGUUAAUGACGGUAUCUAACGAUUAAGCACCGUCUAACUCCGUGCCAGCAGCCGCGGUAAUACGGAGGGUGCAAGCGUUACUCGGAAUCACUGGGCGUAAAGAGCGCGUAGGCGGGAUAGCAAGUCAGAUGUGAAAUCCUAUGGCUUAACCAUAAAACUGCAUUUGAAACUGUUAUUCUAGAGUAUGGGAGGGGUAGGUGGAAUUCUUGGUGGAGGGGUAAAAUGCGUAGAGAUCAAGAGGAA